rnacentral:rRNA from 1 species
CAGCCGCCGCGGUAAGACGAACCGUGCGAACGUUAUUCGGAAUUACUGGGCUUAAAGCGCGUGUAGGCGGGCCGGCACGUCCGUCGCUGAAAUCCCACGGCUCAACCGUGGAAGUGGCGUGGAUACGACCGGCCUCGAGGGGGGUAGGGGGACCUGGAACUUCCGGUGGAGCGGUGAAAUGCGUUGAGAUCGGAAGGAACGCCAGUGGCGAAGGCGGCUCACUGGUCCAUUACUGACGCUGAGGUGCGAAAGCGUGGGGAGCAAACAGGAUUAGAUACCCCUGUAGUCCCUGUCUCUUAUU